rnacentral:rRNA from 1 species
GACGAACCGAGCGAACGUUGUUCGGAAUCACUGGGCUUAAAGGGCGCGUAGGCGGGUGAUCAAGUCCGGGGUGAAAUCCUCCAGCUCAACUGGAGAACUGCCUCGGAUACUGGUUGCCUCGAGGAAGGUAGGGGUGUGUGGAACGGUCAGUGGAGCGGUGAAAUGCAUUGAUAUUGAACGGAACUCCGGUGGCGAAGGCGACACACUGGACCGUUUCUGACGCUGAGUCGCGAAAGCUAGGGGAGCAGACGGG